UUAUGUUUCCUACCUUGCGCGUUUGUUCCAUAUUUCAACAACUCUUAGUUUAUUUGAGCAUCCUCUCUUGUUCAUUUGAGCUUGAAGAGCAUCCUUUCAUUACUGUGGUAUAAGAGCCACCGGUUUUUAUUCCCAAGGUUUUGAGGCCUUGUAAGCCCGCCGGGUCCAGGCCCUAUGGGACUACGGCCGUUUGUCUGCUGGUUGGGUUCGGCUUAGUCGGGUUUGAGGCGUGAUAGUCUAAAAGGUCAAAUCUAAAAAGUUUGAAAGGGAUAAAAAAAAAACCUUGUUUUGGGGUGAUCAUUCAGGGUUUUUCUUUUCAAUUUUUAGUGAAAAUUAAGGGGGUUUCUCAAGGUUACUCAAAAGAACAAGUUUGGUUUAUAGAGAUUUGAAAUUAGGUAAAAUAAAUAGUCUAUUGUUACUUAUAACCCAAUCAAUCAGUUAAACUCUUUUUAAAAAUUUUUUAUUGAUAUUUCUGAUCAUUGGUACAUUUGCAAUAGAUUAGUAUUGCACAAGCUUAGCAUCCUUGGGCUUUUAACAAGCUAUGUUUAACAAACAAUUAUGUCAAUGAUCUUCUUGUUUUAUUAAAUUUUUACGAAACCAAAAGCUAUUCUCAAGAGGUUAAUUUUGAUUUUACCAAACUUUAGUUAUGCUAUUAAAUAUAAUGUCAGGUUUGGUGUUAUAACCAGUCUGGUACUGUAGCUAUAGCUAGCUCGUUACUGUAGAUUUUCCUUUGGAGAAGAUGGGGAACUUUGGAUGAUCUUCCUCCUUGUUGCCAAGCUAGCUCCUAGAUCCAUCAUUCAUUCUUCUUCCUUGGGUAUUAGAAGUAAGCACUCGUAAGCCUUGUUUUUUUCCUUGUUUUUCUUGGAUGGAAAUGAUGGAUUAGGGUUGUAUUUGUUGGCUUGAAAACUUGUAGUUGGAUCUCCUUCUUGUUAAAUUGCCUUGGAAGCCUGAUCGGAGGUUGUAAUACUUGUUUUCCUAAAAUUAUUGUAAACUUAGAACCAGAAUUUGCAAGGAAACUGCAACCACUGUAGAUCAAUUACUGUAACAGUCAUGUGGCUUCGGUAAACCUUUGUUUAUUCUUUGAAUUCUUUGGUUUAGAAUGAAGCUCAAGGCCUUAGGAAUUCAUUAGUAACCUGAAAAGCAAGUUUUGAGUUAACCCUAGCAUUGUUUAAGGGAUGCACAUUAGUGUGACAGAGGAUUUCAUUUCUUUUGAUUGGUAUGCUUUGUUUAAUUCUGGUUAUUGCUUGUGUGUGUGUGCUUUGGCUAGGAGAUGAGUGCUCGACUCAAGGUUGGGUGCCAACGGAGGAUUAGAGCUUCUGGGAAUUUUAAAUCGUCUAAGUUAUAUCUGAAGGUUGUCCUGGUUAUGGAUUCUUUGAUGAGGUAUGCCUGUAUUGCAUUGUUUUGGUUGGUGACAUUCUACUGUAAUUGGUGGUUUCUAUGGUCAGCUUGUUGAGGUGGCAUGGAAGACCGGCAGACUUAUUGGUUCGAUUCAGGUGGGAGUGUAGAGCCCUGACUAGUUAUUCAUCGGGAAGCCGGGGUCACCAUAUGAUGAACUGAUGGGUCAAUGUUAACGGCAUGGGUACCUUGACGGCUCUGAACCUAGCCACGACCAUGACGAAGGUUUAGAAAGAUUUCUAAACCACUUUGUGAUGUCAUCUUAAAUUUGCGGUGAGGGGACAAAGCACAACUGUCACUCUUAGGAGAGCAGGCUCCCACAAAUUUGAUUUAGCGAAGAGUAUUAUGUGUUCCGUAUCUUUUAUAGUGUCAUCUUAAAUUUGUAGUGAGGGGGCAAGCCCAGUUGUUACUCUUAGGAGAGCAGUCUCCCCCAAAUUUGAUUUGAAACUCGUAUUAUAUAUGUUGUUAUAUAUAUACUGAAAUGACAUGAUCUAUAUGUAUUAUUGUAAAAACUAGGCUUGAUGUUCAACUUAUUUUAUUGUUUAAAAC